CUGCUUAUAACAAAGUACACAUCUCAAUGGACAUCGCAGAGUCCAAUGUCUUCAGAGAGUCCAUGACAACCUCAAACUGUUACAGCAGAACAGGAUAGUUGUGUUAGAGACAGCAAUAACAUGCACUUACUGCCAUUUCACAGGCCCAAACACAUUUAAAUGAUGUAGACAACAGAGCUUGUGUUGUUAAACAUUUUUAGCCACAGCUCGGGCUAUAUGUAGGAUUCAGAAACUCUUGUUUUUAGCGACACCGGUGGCUGUUAAGUGAACUGCGGCCAGCAAUUUAUUGGUCGUGCUCGUGCUCGCACUAGUGCGCACGAAACGUACAAGACACUGGACUUCAUUCAGUCAAGGCCCCGAUGUACUCACGGCAAAGUUGUGUUUUGUUCUUUGCUUAGAAAUAAAAAGAAGUUGGAAAUACCUUUGCAGCGAUAUACUGUUAACAAACAUCCAGACACCACCCACGCUGCUGAGAGUGACGGUUAGAUAUGUUAAUAUGUUCUGCUCACUUUCCUCUCAAUAACAAAAUAAACGCAACAAAGCUGUGAAAAAGCAGUAAUUGAUCAUAGCGAUGUGGAUAUGUUUGCACCAGCUCUGCAAUCCACCGACAUCAUGUCGACAAAUGAGGUAAAUAAAAUUACACUGUUAUGAUAGUUUGAUUAUAAAGUAUAUUUGAGAACAUAGAUCUGACUAUGUUUGAAUUAAUCCCUUUUCUUUGUAUGACAUUCUUUGUAUUGACAUUACAGAAUAGCUCUUUCGGUAUUAUCCUCCUGAACAUAGCAUAAACAUUAAUUUAUUGUGUCAUUGGACGGAAGAGAGGAUCUCGGGAGCGCGCGUAAACGUCUCAUCCUUUUAAUUUUCCCGGCAAAAACGUCCCGAGUCCUUCACAAAAAAAAUCAGGCUUUCAUAGACAACCUAGGAAGCCGGGGAAGGUCUCGUUUUUUAAAGUUUCGUUACAAGCUCACAACUUCACACAUUGGCAAAAAUAAAAUAAAAUAAAAUAAAAUAAAAUUAAUGUAAAAAAAAAAAAAUCGAAUAAUACAUGAAAAUUCUUACAUAUAGUCCUCAAAUAUGCUUACAUGUACUGCUAUUAUGGAAGCACAAAAAAAUGAAACACUGCUAAAGAGAAUAACUCAUAAAACCAUCUGUUUUUCUUCUAUAAACAUGCAUAAACAGAGAAAAUAUACUGUAAAAUAGUCUGAAUAAUGGCUUCAUUAAUGAGGAGGCACAAAAAUAAAAGCUAAAAUGGUCCAAAACAAUAAUCAAAUUGUGGUCCUGUCUGAUUCAUGGUUAUUAUGGUUAACUAAAACUAAAACCCUUAAACGUAUUUUAUUUCAGCUAGUUACUACAGCAACAUGUAAUUUUCAUUUAGUUUAAGUUGAUUAACAUAAUGAAGCCUAAACCAUAUUGACAAAAACGAAUAAAAAUGACAAAACAGCAAAAUCACUAAAUCCAACUAAAAUUAAAACAUAAAAUCUAAUUCAAAAUAUUAACUAUAAUAGCAGCUCAGUUCUAAACAACAUUCUAAACAAAUCAGUCUAACCUCAUACACCAUAUUGGUACAGAACUAUAUUAUCUUGUAUACAACAAACGUUUAUGCAACAACAAAGCAUUUGAAAAGUGGGUGACCUCAGUCAAGAAAGCAUUAUUUGUACAGGUUUCUAGUUUUUCUUAUAGUAUGUGUUGGGGUUGUAAUUACUUACAUAGAGCAACAUGAAUCUGUAUCGCCAGCCAUAGUGUUGCAUGCUCUUCCGCUCAUCAGGCAGAAAACACCUUUGAGUCUCUGAAGUCCGGAGGACUCCAGACUCUUUGGGAUCACAGAAGCAAAGAGGAUUAGCUAGCAUGGUCACAUUUAGUCUACCGUGGCUAUAUCUGAUCCAAAAGACUGUUUACUUUAACUGGCUGCAGUCAGUGAAAGGACAUGAACAACAGUCAAGCUACGUCAUACUGGGGGGCAUGUGUGGUAAUGCCUGGGUAAGUACCUAAGGUGUGAACACCCAAAUUAUGACAAGUUAUUCCUGUUGCAGGGUGGCUUGGAAAUGAAUGACUAAGUGGCUAAGUGCUUGAACCUCUUAAAGUCAAAGUAUAACAGGAUAACACUUUAAGGUUAAAGUAAUAUAAACUUGAAACAGUGGGAAAGAAGAUCAAGUGUUACAUAACCUCAUAAAGGACAUGCUACUGGACAGCAAGAUAGGAUUUAAUCCAAAACAAAGAUGUCAUGUCAAGCUCUUUAUAAUCAGAGCAUUGUCUGUCUUGUGAGUUUUAGAAGGCAUUUGUCACAUGCUUAAUAGUUUCCACCCCUGUUUGGAAAAUAAUAUCAGAAGUUUCAUUCUAUCAAUGGCGUGCCUUUGCCAUUUCAAAGAGGUAAUAUUUUAAUUUUAAUCUAAAUUUAAGGGUUAGUUCACCCAAAAAGGAAAAUUCUGUCAUUAAUUAAGAUAUAAAUUAAGAUAUUUUUGAUAAAAUCCGAUGGUACAGUGAGGCCUCUACUGCCAGCAAGAUAAUUAACACAUAAGAUAAUUAACUUCAUGAAGCUUCACAAAUCUUUUGUUUUGAACCAGUGGUUCGGAGCGUGUAUCAAACUGCCAAAGUCACUUAUGACAUAACAAAGCCUCGUUUACUGAAAUCACAUGACUUUGGCAGUUUGAUACAUGCUCCGAACCACUGAUUCGAAACAAAAGAUUUGUAAAGCUUCGAAGCUUCAUGAAGUAGUAUUUUGAAAUCGGCCAUCACUAGAUAUUGUUGAAUAAAGUCGUUAUUUUGUUUUUUUUGGUGCACAAAAAGUAUUCUCGUCGCUUCAUAGCAUUAAGGUUAAACCACUGUAGUCACAUGAACUUUUUAAAAUAUGUCUUUAGUACCUUUCUGGGCAUUGAAAGUGUUCAUUAUCUUGCUGGCAAUUGAGGCCUCACUGAGCCAUCGAAUUUCAUCAAAAAAUAUCAUAAUUUGGGUUCCGAAGAUGAACUAACCCUUUAAUGAAAAGUAAUAUGUUUGAAUAUAACUAAAUGUAAAGUAACAGGGUUGACGAUAACCAUGUUGACAGUUUUAUAAUUCAUUUGGCCAUUAUUAUGUUGUGUUUGUGGUCUUGCUAGAAAGAGGGUUUUUAAAUAACAGAUUAUUACAGAAAAUCACAGUAACAGGGUUGACAAUUUAUUGUCAUACUCUUUAGACAAACCGUACGAAAUUAAUUAUAAAAUGCAAAAAAAAAAAGAGGAUUGCAACAUUUACUUCCUGAAAGGAUGAUGUCAUUAUGAGUUUGGUUUGUUUAUAAAAUAGGGGGAAAUAAAAUGGUAACAGGGUUGAAUAGUCUUUUAAUAAUACAUCACAAGAUAAUAAAUAUAAUAGUUAUAUGUCCUAUAUGUUUUAUAUUUUACCAAUCAAACGUGCACAUUUGCUAAUAUAACAAAUGGAAUUUGUAAACACUUAAGUAUAUAAUUAAGUAAUUAAGAAAGUAAAUAUUCUACUGUUUAAAUAUGAGUUAUCUAUGUUUAAUUUUUUGGAAAGUGUAAAUAAUGAUAAAAGAACCUUAUCUCAUCUUCUCUGCCUAUCGUAACAGACAAUAAAUGUGGGUGUGGGACAUUCUUUUAUAAUUAUUUAUGCAUUUCAUAGAAUAAAACCUAGAUAACUCAUAUCUAAACAGUUGAAUGUAGAUAAAUAACACAAGUAAUAUUUUCUAAAGUUUUUCUAAGGUUAUUCUAAAUUUUCUAGAGCUGUCCAAGGUGCUGAAGGCCCACAGAAGCCCUCAUUUACAUUAAUAAAGUGUGUAGGAGAAUGUGUAGUUCUGUGCUGGUAUAUGUUGGCUCCAGUAUAAGCUCAGAAAUCCCUUGUAACCAACCUCUCUGGAGCUUGUUAUCAUGUUACAAGAUGUACAAAUGCACCGUGACCUCAGAGCUCCAGUAGAUCAAGUCCCGGGUGAGAGGCAGUGUCUUUAUAAAUGGGCUGCAAUGCCUCAUGAAGGGGAUUCAAUGCUAAAUCUCAAGUGUUUGAACACUGCUCAGCUUCUGGAGCUCUUGGAAGACGAGGAAAGGAUGCGAGAAACUGUCAGGGUCAAUUCAAAGGUACCAAACUACAAGUACACCAUCAAGAUUUUACAUGUAUUUUGCAUUUGUACAUGACUUACUUGAUCUGAAGGACUUGCCUGCAGUUACAGCAUCUUCAGAGGUGUAAAAUGAUCUUGAUGACGUCCAACUGUUGGCUCGCAGAGCAGAAUUUAGCACAUCAGCCACAUCUGAGCAACUCUAAAAUUCUCUUAGCUGAAAAGUACCAGAUUCUUGGUCAAAUGGUGUCUUCAAUUCAACGCAAACAGAGAAGGCUGGAAACUUUACAACAAAAACUCAGCCUUAGAGCGAUUCAUAAACUUAUUAAGGAGAAGACCAGUCAGUCCUUGCGUCAGUCUGAGAAUCUCUGGCAAAAGUUCACAGAAGGAAAACUUCUGCUGACAGAUUUUGUGGAAUCACUUCAAAGCUCUCAGACGUUAUGCCACCGUCAUCUUAUUCAAGCUGAGAAGAUCCAGAACCUCAUACUACAAGCACAAAUAUACAAUCAAGAUGUUGAUUUUUCCCGUCUUCGGCAUCAUCCAAACUUCGGGUACUCACCGACCGCGAUCAAUGUUUACAGUGGCCUCUAUCCUGUUAUCUUACUGCCUGGCUUCCAGUAUCCUCAUUUAUCUCCGAUAUCAUAUCUUCCUCCUCUAAAGCAUCAUGGCUGUGUUGAUAUAUGCUCGACUUUGAUAUCCAAAAAUGAACGGAGCCAUAAACAAGGUUUAUGUAAAUGCACUGAGAUUUGCCGACGGCCACAAAGACACGCUGCUUUACAGCCACUUGACAAGAUUCAACCUAACAUUCACCAGACUCCCUAGUAAAGUUGUGCUGGUGAUCCAGAAACUCUAAAUUAUUUUUAAAACCAUUUUGUUUCUGAUAUAUAUUUGUUUCUGAGAUAUAUAUAUGGUCACACUUUAGAUUAGGGUCCAAUUCUCACUAUUAACUACGACUUUUGCCUCAAACUCCUAAUUACUCCUUAUUAUUAGUUAGUAAGGUAGUUGUUAAGUUUAGGUAUUGGGAAGGAGGAAGGGAUGUAGAAUAUGGUCAAGAAGAAUAAGGCAUUAAUUUGUGCUUUAAAAGUACUAAUAAACAGCCAAUAAGCUAGUAAUAUGCAUGCUAAUAAGCAACUAGUUAAUGGUGAGAAUUGGACCCUAAACUAAAGUGUUACCAUGUUUAUAUAUAUAUAUAUAUAUAUAUAUAACAAUUGUGUUUUAGUUUAUUUUAGUUUAAAAAUUAAUGUCCAUUUCAUUUCAGAAAUACUGAGUACCAUUUGUCAUCAUUAAUGUAUAAUGUCACUGACUGUUCUGGUCUCUAAAUAUAUUAUUAUAUAUCAUAUAAUAUCAUAUAUUAUAUGUUGGUCAAAUAAAUACAACCAUUAAAACAUAUUAACUGAAUGUUGCAUUUUUAUCAUCAAAGCCUACUUUUACAGUUUAAAUAAACUAUUGGUAAUGUUACAUUACAAGUAUUUAUCAAUAGUAAAAUUGUUAAUAACUGGUAUGGUUAAUAGUUUUCAUGCAUUAUAUUUAGCCUAAUUUGCUGCCAUUCUCUUUGGCUUCGAGUCUGUCAAUUGAUUCAUCUGGUUUAGAAGAAGGUCAACAUGAGGUCCAGUUCCUUGAUCAGACUCAUCUCUCUAAUUAGAGCUUAUUAAACAGGCUGAGAGGGUAAAGAGAGGCUUUUGUCUGACCGUUGGCUUCUUUUGUCUCUGGAUAAUACUUUGGUUACAUCACUGUCAGUAUGUGCUAUUGUCUGCAGCAGCUCAAAU